GUAACGCGUGAGGAACCUGCCUCAAAGAGGGGGACAACGGCUGGAAACGGCCGCUAAUACCGCAUGACAUAUCCGGAUGGCAUCGUCUGGAUAUCAAAGGAGAAAUCCGCUGAAGGGUGGGCUCGCGUCCGAUUAGCUAGUUGGUAGGGUAACAGCCUACCAAGGCGACGAUCGGUAGCCGAACUGAGAGGUUGAUCGGCCGCAUUGGGACUGAGACACGGCCCAGACUCCUACGGGAGGCAGCAUG
rnacentral:rRNA from 1 species